rnacentral:ncRNA from 2 species
AUGUGUCAAAGGCAAACCUGUGGAAAUGCAGGGACGCAAAGCUAAAGGGGCUAAAGCGAGAGAAUCGCCAUGCUUGCCAGUUGCCACU